UUAUUGUGGUUAUAAGGGGAGAAAUAAUUAUCUGUCACUAUCAAUAGAGGGUUCUCAGAAAGUGUAUCAAAUGACUUUUUGCUAAUUUGCUUAUGCCUGUAGGAUGUUAUUGUUUAAUGAUUGGUUACCCAUUACUCUCCCCUCUCUUAUAUUUGUUUUGCACUGUCUUCUAGAACGUUAAAUUAUUGCUUCAUGGAUGAUGGUCUUGGGAAGAAAAAGGUUAUCUCAAAUCACUCUAAAGCUUCAACAGCUAGAGUGGAUUCUCAUCCAAGCUUAACUUCAUCUGUUUCACAGCCACAAAUUGAUGAUUCUUCGAGGGAUUGUCUAAAAGUUUAUCAUCCUGGAUGUGUGGGAAAGAAAGUUUCAUUUUUGGAGGGCAGAGAAAGCUGGACUUGCAAUUGGCACUAUUGCUCAAUAUGCCAUAAAUCUCCAAAGUUUCAGUGCUUUUGCUGUCCUUAUGCCAUAUGUGAGUGCUGCAUGAAUGCUGCUGAGUUUGCACCAACUCGUGGGAAGAAGGGAUUCUGCAGUGAGUAUUUGAAGCUUGUUCUAUGUGCAGAAGAAAACGUGGAGUAUGAUUCUGAUGGGGCGUGAAAGAAACCUCAUCAGCUGGUAAAAUCAAUAGUGAAAUUCUCCUGCAAGCUUCCAGUGUGCCAAUGGACAUUCGCAUUUCCCUGCUGUCUGAUUCUGACUUCACCAAGGAGGAAUUGGAGGAUUUGCAGCAAAAAGUAAAAAACAGCGUGCACAAAAAACUGACUGUUGUAUGUUCUGUCAUUCAUAAGCAGUUAUCUCUCAUUUAUGUUGUUUUUAGUAAGUACUCUUUUCAAAGUUUCUUACCUGGCAAAAGUUUUUUUUUUUUUAAGAAAGGAAAUAAAAAAUAAUAAUAAUAAAUUACCAAAGGAAGAACAAUCCUAUGCAUGAUUAUUCUACAAUGAGAUGAAUUUUAAAGUUUUAGAUUUGAACACAGUUACAUUUACAGAAAAGACUGAAAAUCCAUAUGGUGCCUAUCUGAAAACUAUGCAAUGGCAGAACAUGUUUUUGAGAAGAAAAAAGCAAUGAAAAGUUAUCUUUGUUCUCUCAAGAAAAGUUUUCUAGCUAAUUUAAUUAGACGUCAAUUUUUUCUGGCAUUGAAAUCUCUUUUUCUAAACUAAAAGAACCACCCAUUUUUUUUUUAUCUGAACUAAAUUCUUCAACUAUAUUCUGUAAAAAGAUCUUCAGAAAUAAGGCUACAAAUUAUCUAUCAAAAAAAGUAAGCUAUAAAUUGUUAGGAAUUUGGUAAACUAUCUUACCAUCUUCUCACCUCAACUUGAACAUCCCAUCAUCUUGUGGAAAUUCUCUUCAUUUCCAUUGCAUGUCUGUUUAAAAAUUUACUUAGAUAAUUGCAUGCUAUUGAUGUCCAUUUGUUGCGUGAAACAAUUACCUAGGUAUACUUAGAUAAUUACACGCUUUUCAUGUAUCUUAACUAUGUGAAACCAUCACCUAGAUUAUGGGAAAGCGGUAGCACUGGUUGCAGAAACUAUGUAUAAAGUAAAGAAGGUAGAUAUUUACACUGAUCUCAAAAACAUAUAUGCUGGUAUUAAGUCAUGCAAGAAUUAAUUACCAAGCAGAUAAAUAAACAAAAUAAAUAAAUAAAUUCCAGGACUAGAUGACUUCCUGGACCUUGUCAAACAAUCUUAGAAGUUGUGGGAUGCCUUUCAGGUGGUUGGCAAUGGACUUUAUUCAGUUGCUACAGAGGUGUAUAGUUGGGGAAGUGGUGCAAACUAUCAACUUGGAACUGGCAAUGAACACAUACAAAAAUUACCAUGUAAAGUUGAUUCACUUCAUGGUUCUUAUAUCAAGUUGGUUUCUUUUGCAAAGUUCCAUAGUGUAGCAGUCAGUGCCCGAGGAGAGGUCUAUACUUGGGGAUUUGGAAGGGGGGGCCGCCUUGGGCACCCUGACUUUGAUAUACACAGUGGUCAAGCUGCAGUUAUCACGCCCCGUCAGGUGACUUCUGGUUUAGGGUCCCGUCGGGUGAAGGCAAUUGCAGCAGCUAAACAUCACACUGUUGUCGCUACAGAGGGUGGGAAAGUAUUCACUUGGGGAUCCAACAGAGAUACAAAUGAUACGGGAUCCCCAGCGACAACUUGAGAUGGUGGGAGUUCCAGAGGAGCAUUUGUCUGGUCAUGCAUUUCAUAUGUAUCAUUUGACAUCACCUGAUCAAACAGUUUCCUUUGAGUUUCAACAUAACGUUUGUGGUAGAUCAAUAUAUGCAGAGGGCACCGUUGAUGCUGUAAUAUUCCUUGCCAAGAAGGUGCUAAUGCUUCCAACCAAGUUGAAUCCCAAGUCUACUAACAUCCUUUUCCAUCUGUUCUGGCUUCAAUUUGUCCAAUGGAACAUUGGUUGACUACUUUUUUCAUUUGAUAUGUAUGGUGCCAACACUGAAUUGCUUCAAAAUUUCUUUUUCUAUUUUUGGAUAUUUUUGUAGAACUUUAAUAUGAUAUCAAUUAGUGACAAAGUUGUAUCAUGCUGAGGUGCAGCUAGGUGGACAAUGAGGUCAUUG